rnacentral:rRNA from 1 species
GGGGAAUUUUCCGCAAUGGGCGCAAGCCUGACGGAGCAAUACCGCCCGAGGGAGGACGGCUUUUGGGUUGCAAACCUCUUUUAUCUGGGAAGAACAAAAUGCCGGUCCCUGAUGAUUCAGCAUCGGCUAACACCGUGCCAGCUGCCCCGGUAAUACUGAGGAUGCAAGUGUUAUCCGGAAUUAUUGGGCGGAAAGCGCCCGCAGGUGGUUUUUCAAUUCUGCCGUUGAAGCGCGAAUCUUACCUCCAUACCGGCAGUGUAAACUGGAAGACCAAUGUGCUAUUGGGGUUAACGGGAAUUCCCACUUGUACGGGCCAAUGCCUUGAAAUUCGCGAAAAAACACCCCCCGCCGAAAGCCCGUUCCGGGGCCUGCACCGCCAUUGAGGGACAAAACCUUGGGGAACACAAAGGGAUUAAAUUCCCCUCUUCUC